UUUUGCAGAUGGUCUGCAGGCGGCAGCCUGGCCGCAUUUAAAGGCCACGGCCGCCCGCCCUCGCUGGAAGGGGCGGCCCUGCCCGCCUCGGGCCCCGCCCCGGCCCCACGGGACCCCGCCCGGCAUGGUGGAGACCCACCCGCGGCCCUCUGCGCUGUCCUGCCUAGUGAGGGGACCACUGUGGAUGGCAGGCCUGCAGGCCCAUGGGCCCCCGACAACCCAGCUUCCUCUUGAGGGCCUCCUCUAUUAGAUACAUGGAGGAAUGGGGACAAGAGGUGGUGAGUUCGAGAGGUGCUGAAGCGAAGCAUCCUUCAGGUCAUAGAAGAUGAUGUCACCCAACACCAGGUAAACUUUCACAUAGUACAGGGUCUCCUCAUCAAACUCCAGGGGUGAGUUGCAGAGCGACAGAGCCUUGAGGUAGAAGUGCUCGGCCAGCUCCCCGUGACCCAGCCGGUGGUGCAGAGUAGCCAGCCGAUGGACCAGCACAAGGAGCCUGCACACAGUGGUUCCAGAUCAGCUGCUUGCCUGCUGCAGGCCUGAGGCCCUGGUCAGUCCACUCAAGGCUCCAUGUCUGGAGGAAGACAAACAUUCUCAUUCAGUCGUUGAGUGAAGCCUGGUACUGAGGGACAUGCUGCAGGAGAGGGGUCCCAUUGAAGAAGAUGUCCCCAGCUGCCUCAAACAGCUCCAGCCCCAGUUUGGGGUCCCCGGUGUACAAGGCUGCAUUCUGUGCCACCUGCGAGGACCAGAAGCUCUCUGGAGUCAGUACCCACC